GUCCCUGGUUCAAUCUGGCACAGUGGGUUAGUGCGUCUGGCUGCUAACCAGAAGGUUGGUGGUUCGAGCCCAUUCAGGGACA